rnacentral:rRNA from 1 species
AACGAACGCUGGCGGCAUGCCUAACACAUGCAAGUCGAACGAACCCUUCGGGGUUAGUGGCGCACGGGUGCGUAACGCGUGGGAAUCUGCCCUUUGCUUCGGAAUAACAGUUAGAAAUGACUGCUAAUACCGGAUGAUGUCUUCGGACCAAAGAUUUAUCGGCAAGGGAUGAGCCCGCGUAGGAUUAGGUAGUUGGUGGGGUAAAGGCCUACCAAGCCGACGAUCCUUAGCUGGUCUGAGAGGAUGAUCAGCCACACUGGGACUGAGACACGGCCCAGACUCAUACGGGAGGCAGAAGUGGGGAAUAUUGGACAAUGGGCGCAAGCCUGAUCCAGCAAUGCCGCGUGAGUGAUGAAGGCCUUCGGGUCGUAAAGCUCUUUUACCAGGGAUGAUAAUGACAGUACCUGGAGAAUAAGCUCCGGCUAACUCCGUGCCAGCAGCCGCAGUAAUAC